GGCUCAUGUUCGUAGCUCAGUUGAUUAGAGCACUGCACCAGCAUCGCAGAGGUCAAGGGUUCGAAUCCCGUUGAGUCA
rnacentral:tRNA from 1 species